rnacentral:tRNA from 1 species
AUAUAGCUCAGUUGGUAGAGUGCUUGCCUUGCAUGCACAAGGCCCUGGGUUCAAUCCCCAGAUAUG